rnacentral:lncRNA from 1 species
GAUCCACCCACCUCGGCCUCCCAAAGUGCUGGGAUUACAGGAGUGAGCCACCGCGCCCAGCUAAAUUUAUUUUUUAUACUGUUCCAUCCACCCCUCAAACCCAACCACACUCUAUGACCACACAACAGACGAAUAAUCCUUUCAGAAUGUAUAUCAUGUCACUUCCCCACUCAAAAGCUGCCAGGUGGCUUCUCAUCACAGUUUGAAUAAAACCCAAAGUACUUACCCCACGGCCUCCCAAGGCCUCAUAUAGCCACUGCGUUAAGACAGUGCCAAGCAGGCCUCAGGGACUUUGCAUGUGCUAUGCCCUCUGCAAGGCUUUUCCCGAAGAUCAGCACUGGGCUGGAUGUGUCACUUCAUUUAGGUGUCAGCUCAUGUUACUUCAUUAGGGAUAUCCUUCCUUGAUCACUUUUUUUUCCUUUUUUUUUUUUGGUGAGACUGAAUUUUGCUCUUGUUGAGCAGACUGGAGUGCAGUGGUGCAAUCUUGGCUCGCCGCACCCUCCGCCUCCCGGGUUCAAGCGAUUCUCCUGCCUCAGCCUCCUGAAUAGCUGGGAUUACAGGCGCCUGACGCCAUGCCCAGCUAAUUUUCAUAUUUUUAGUAGAGACGGUGUUUCACUGUGUUGGCCAGGCUGACCUUUUUUUCCCCCAUGUUUGGGGCUUGUCUUUGUCUCUCAAAUGCGAAAUAUAAAUCAUGUUUUUACAAGUUUUGUGAAUCUUGACUUUUCACACCUUGUUUUUGUAAGCAAAAGUUUCUUAUUAAAAUAAUAAAAUGACUGUCUUUGUGUGCAAUAUUUAUCUCAAAUGUUUGUUAAAAUAGCAUUGUUAUUUCUCAGGACAACAGCGAGGAUCAGCCCCUGCAGAAGCUUAGGAACUAUGUACAGAACUUUACAGAACAGACGCAAUACUGUAGCUUAAGCCUCUCUGCUGACCAGAGAAUGGAAUUCUCCGUGGACUCGAGGAACAAAAGGAAACUAGGCAGGGAAAGGGAAAAGGAAAGUGGCCAUUUGAAUCAAACUUCAGCUGCUAUCAGGGCACAUCUUGUGGUGGCCACAGAUUGCAGGCUGUUCUUGGAAGAUUCGGGCUCAGCACAGGAUUCCAUUUGUCUACCUGGCUACACUCCUGGCUGAGGUGCCAUGAGGUCAAUGUCACUGAAGUACCUGGCCAGCCAAACUCCCGCAGCAAAGAGUCCCAAAUCGAGGAUCAAGUUCCUCCAGAAGUCACUCCUAUCAGUGGCAAAGCGGUAGACGCCCUGAGGCUAAUCUCCCACAUUGUCCAGUAUUUCGGGAGUUUCAUUAGCCAAGCAGGCAGCGCUCAUCCAGAUCCCGCUGGAAGCCAUAGUAGGAAGCUUCGCA